AUUGAACGCUGGCGGCAUGCUUUACACAUGCAAGUCGAACGGUAACAGGCCGCAAGGUGCUGACGAGUGGCGGACGGGUGAGUAAUGCAUCGGAACGUGCCCAGUCGUGGGGGAUAACUACUCGUAAGAGUAGCUAAUACCGCAUACGAUCUAUGGAUGAAAGCGGGGGACCGUAAGGCCUCGCGCGAUUGGAGCGGCCGAUGUCAGAUUAGGUAGUUGGUGGGGUAAAGGCGCACCAAGCCAACGAUCUGUAGCUGGUCUGAGAGGACAACCAGCCACACUGGGACUGAGACACGGCCCAGACUCCUACGGGAGGCAGCAGUGGGGAAUUUUGGACAAUGGGCGCAAGCCUGAUCCAGCAAUGCCGCGUGCAGGAAGAAGGCCUUCGGGUUGUAAACUGCUUUUGUACGGAACGAAACGGCUCUGGUUAAUACCCGGGGCUAAUGACGGUACCGUAAGAAUAAGCACCGGCUAACUACGUG
rnacentral:rRNA from 1 species